UAAACAGCCAGUGAAUUCCAUUCAUCAAAUAAAGCGAGCUUCUUUAAUACUUGAGCAACUGUAUUUGGUCCAAACCAUUCUCCAAUCGAUUUCCCCUCUCCAACACCCAUCUGUGCCAUCUGGUGGAUGGAAUAACAGCAAUCCUUCCUGUCUAGAAAGCAGUGGAGGAUUCUGUGAUAUUCUUCUGGUUGUUUUUUGUGUUUUUCCCAUUGCCAAUCUCUUCCUAAAUGCCUGCAGAUCAGUGCCUGUGCCAGCAUCAUCUGCCCGCAUCGCAGCAUGCAUCCCCAGCCAGCGUCAGACGAAGGACCAGUGCCUCCAAUAGGCGAAAACUUUCUUCUGUAUGUAAACCAGAGACGAGCACUGACAUCCAGCAGUAACUUGGAUUUGUCUUCGUUCAAGUGGUGCUGCCUUCCCAGAAUCCACACCGGCUCAUCGGUGUCGGGAAAUUCUUCUAAGUAGUCGGACAGAAUAGUGAUCUGGUUUUCAUACCUGGAUAAAACUGACUCCAUCCUCCCGCCGUCACCAUCCUCCUCCUCCUCCUCCUCCUCG
rnacentral:lncRNA from 1 species